CAGCACUCAGCGAGGCCCCUGCUCUUCCUAACUCGCUUUCCUCCCCGCCUCAGUUUCGUUCUUCCCAGCUUACUUUUAAUUCUUCACAGGUGGAGAGCAUGACCUCAUGUCUGGUUUAGGAUCCUAGAAACGAUGAGGAAACUGAAGUUUUCAGAGUCCUGAGAUGCCUCACAGCUAACAGAAACAGAUGAGGGUUUGUCCACUUGCCUGUCGGGUCUAUAUGCUCCCUGGUUUUUCCUGCUGGAGUCAUGCAAAGGCAACAGACAGAGGGUGUAGACGACAAGUUUGUGGGACAUCACUCAUGGACCCCAGUUCUGGAAUGAUCAGACAUGAUUUCCCAUUGCUUCCAGAAGAAAACAUCUGCGUGGCAUUUGGGCUGCUCGCCACGCCUGAAGAUUCUCCCUGAUUUUAUCCCAAAUGCCUUA